rnacentral:rRNA from 1 species
CAAGUCGCACGAGAAAGUCCUUCGGGGCGAGUACAGUGGCGCACGGGUGAGUAACGCGUGGGUGACGUGCCUUUUAGUGGGGGACAACCUCGGGAAACCGGGGCUAAUACCGCAUACGUAGUUUCUAUUUGAAUAGGAAACUAUAAAGAUGGCCUCUAUUUAUAAGCUAUCGCUAGAAGAUCGGCCCGCGUAGCAUUAGCUUGUUGGUGGGGUAAUGGCUUACCAAGGCUACGAUGCUUAACUGGUCUGAGAGGAUGAUCAGUCACACUGGAACUGAGACACGGUCCAGACUCCUACGGGAGGCAGCAGUAGGGAAUAUUGCACAAUGGGGGAAACCCUGAUGCAGCAAUGCCACGUGAGUGAGGAAGGCCUUCGGGUUGUAAAGCUCUGUCCUGAGGGAAGAACGGUAUAGUAGCUAAUAUCUAUUAUAUUUGACGGUACCUCAGAAGAAAGCACCGGCUAAUUCCGUACCAGCAGCCGCGGUAAUACGGAAGGUGCAAGCGUUGUUCGGAUUUACUGGGCGUAAAGCGCGCGCAGGCGGAUUGGCAAGUCAGAUGUGAAAUCUCAGGGCUCAACCCUGAAAUUGCGUCUGAAACUGUUAAUCUAGAGUAUCAGAGGGGAUAGGGGAAUUUCACGUGUAGGGGUAAAAUCCGUAGAGAUGUGAAGGAACACCGGUGGCGAAGGCGCCUAUCUGGAUGAUAACUGACGCUGAGGCGCGAAAGCGUGGGGAGCAAACAGGAUUAGAUACCCUGGUAGUCCACGCCGUAAACGAUGAGUACUAGCUAUUGUGGGUAUUG